AUUGAACGUUGGCGGCAGGCUUUAGACAUGCAAGUCGAACGAGAAAGUGCCUUCGGGCAUGAGUACAGUGGCGAACGGGUGAGUAACGCGUAGGAAUCUACCUUCCGGUGGGGGACAACUCGGGGAAACUCGAGCUAAUACCGCAUAAUAUCCACGGAUCAAAGCGGGGGAUCUUCGGACCUCGCGCCGGGAGAGGAGCCUGCGUUAGAUUAGCUAGUUGGUGGGGUAAAGGCCUACCAAGGCGACGAUCUAUAGCUGGUCUGAGAGGACGAUCAGCCACACUGGAACCUGAGACACGGUCCAGACUCCUACGGGAGGCAGCAGUCGGGAAUUUUGGGCAAUGGGCGCAAGCCUGACCCAGCCAUGCCGCGUGUGUGAAGAAGGCC
rnacentral:rRNA from 1 species